rnacentral:rRNA from 1 species
CCUACGGGAGACAGCAGUGAGGAAUAUUGGUCAAUGGGCGCGAGCCUGAACCAGCCAAGUAGCGUGAAGGAUGACUGCCCUACGGGUUGUAAACUUCUUUUAUAAAGGAAUAAAGUGAGCCACGUGUGCCUUUUUGUAUGUACUUUAUGAAUAAGGAUCGGCUAACUCCGUGCCAGCAGCCGCGGUAAUACGGAGGAUCCGAGCGUUAUCCGGAUUUAUUGGGUUUAAAGGGAGCGUAGAUGGGUUGUUAAGUCAGUUGUGAAAGUUUGCGGCUCAACCGUAAAAUUGCAAUUGAUACUGGCAGUCUUGAGUACAGUAGAGGUAGGCGGAAUUCGUGGUGUAGCGGUGAAAUGCAUAGAUAUCACGAAGAACUCCGAUUGCGAAGGCAGCAUACCGGCCCCCGACUGACGCUGAGGCACGAAAGCGUGGGGAUCAAACAGGAUUAGAUACCCUUGUAGUC